AUGUACAAAAUUGUACAUCUUGUCCUACAGCAGGGAUCAAGGGGAAUUAAUCUGUGUGUGGUGCUUGGACAGGCAGCUCUGCUACCUCCAGGCGAACGUCUCCUCAGCAAACAAGCUGCACGCCUUAAAACACUACAACCCUUUUUAAAAAUGUGCCGGGCUGGUGCUGUACUAGCAUGCUGUGUAGCCGUUUCGGAGUUCGAUCACUUCAAGGAAUUUAACAGAAAUAAAACCUACAAUGAAACCUGCCCCUGGAAUGUCACAGAACGCUUUUUAAAGCUAAGCGCACUUCUGCUUGGCACAGCGACCUCGGGCCGCCGUGCCCGAGCUCCCGGGGUCCCCAGGCACGGCCAGCGGGGCCUUUUUGCCAAAUCUCGGGACCGGCCCCGCUCCCCCAGCCCCAGGCCGGGCGCCCCGCCCGGGCCGCUUUGGGGCCUCUUUAGGGCCGGCCCGGCCCCGCCGCCUCCCCUCAGCGCCGCUCGCGCUCCACUCCCCUCCCCCGGCAGCCCCACAGCCCAGCAGCGCGGGGGGCGCUGGGAAACGCGGCUCGGCCCUCCCUGGAUCCCCGGGGAGGGGCUGCCCUCUGGGCCCGGCCGGACUACAUUUCCCAAGAUACCCCGCGCAGGGUCCCGGCACCGGUCUCCUCGCCGGCGACAUCCCCCUUCCCGCUGCCUGCCGGGAAACGGAGUCCAGCAGGGUAAAGCUCCCGCGGGGCCGGCCGGGUCCUUCCGGGCGCGGGACUCCAUUUCCCAUCCUCCUCCUCCAGCCCCGCCGUCGGCCCCGCUCGGGCGCCAUUUUGUUUCGCGUUACAACCUAAGAUGGCGGCCGGGCGAAGAGACUGAAGGUUGCUGUGGCGGGACGAGCGGCGUCCGGCCGGAUGGCUCCGGCCCCGUAGCGGCUCCUUGUCCCCCGGGGGCCGCCCUCGCCCACCGCCUGCCCCGGGCCGAGCUAGGGGCGCGGAGGAGCCGGUCCAUGGCCAGGAGGUGGCCGGUGCGGUCGCCGGUGCGG
rnacentral:lncRNA from 1 species